rnacentral:tRNA from 1 species
GCCCGGUUAGCUCAGUCGGUAGAGCAUCUGACUUUUAAUCAGAGGGUCGCGGGUUCAAGUCCCUCAUCGGGCA